rnacentral:tRNA from 11 species
GGCUAGGUAGCUCAGUUGGUAGAGCAGGGGAUUGAAAAUCCCCGUGUCGGGGGUUCGAUUCCCUCCCUGGCCACCA